AGAGUUUGAUCCUGGCUCAGGAUAAACGCUGGCGGCGCACAUAAGACAUGCAAGUCGAACGGACUUAAUCGAUUCUUUUAGAUUCGAAGCGGUUAGUGGCGGACUGGUGAGUAACACGUAAGCAACCUGCCUAUUAGAGGGGAAUAACAGUGAGAAAUCACUGCUAAAACCGCAUAUGCCGUGAACAUCGCAUGAUGAAAACGGGAAAAGAGCAAUCUGCUAAUAGAUGGGCUUGCGUCUGAUUAGCUAGUUGGUGUGGUAAUGGCAUACCAAGGCAACGAUCAGUAGCCGGACUGAGAGGUUGAACGGCCACAUUGGGACUGAGAUACGGCCCAGACUCCUACGGGAGGCAGCAGUGGGGAAUCUUGCGCAAUGGGGGGAACCCUGACGCAGCGACGCCGCGUGCGGGACGGAGGCCUUCGGGUCGUAAACCGCUUUCAGCAGGGAAGAGUCAAGACUGUACCUGCAGAAGAAGCCCCGGCUAACUACGUGCCAGCAGCCGCGGUAAUACGUAGGGGGCGAGCGUUAUCCGGAUUCAUUGGGCGUAAAGCGCGCGUAGGCGGCCCGGCAGGCCGGGGGUCGAAGCGGGGGGCUCAACCCCCCGAAGCCCCCGGAACCUCCGCGGCUUGGGUCCGGUAGGGGAGGGUGGAACACCCGGUGUAGCGGUGGAAUGCGCAGAUAUCGGGUGGAACACCGGUGGCGAAGGCGGCCCUCUGGGCCGAGACCGACGCUGAGGCGCGAAAGCUGGGGGAGCGAACAGGAUUAGAUACCCUGGUAGUCCCAGCCGUAAACGAUGGACGCUAGGUGUGGGGGGACGAUCCCCCCGUGCCGCAGCCAACGCAUUAAGCGUCCCGCCUGGGGAGUACGGCCGCAAGGCUAAAACUCAAAGGAAUUGACGGGGGCCCGCACAAGCAGCGGAGCAUGUGGCUUAAUUCGAAGCAACGCGAAGAACCUUACCAGGGCUUGACAUAUGGGUGAAGCGGGGGAGACCCCGUGGCCGAGAGGAGCCCAUACAGGUGGUGCAUGGCUGUCGUCAGCUCGUGUCGUGAGAUGUUGGGUUAAGUCCCGCAACGAGCGCAACCC
rnacentral:rRNA from 1 species